ACCAGACUCCUACGGGAGGCAGCAGUGGGGGAUAUUGCACAAUGGGGGGAACCCUGAUGCAGCGACGCCGCGUGGGUGAAGAAGCGCCUCGGCGCGUAAAGCCCUGUCAGCAGGGAAGAAAAUGACGGUACCUGAAGAAGAAGCCCCGGCUAACUACGUGCCAGCAGCCGCGGUAAUACGUAGGGGGCAAGCGUUAUCCGGAUUUACUGGGUGUAAAGGGGGCGCAGACGGCGAUGCAAGCCAGGAGUGAAAGCCCGGGGCCCAACCCCGGGACUGCUCUUGGAACUGCGUGGCUGGAGUGCAGGAGGGGCAGGCGGAAUUCCUGGUGUAGCGGUGAAAUGCGUAGAUAUCAGGAGGAACACCGGUGGCGAAGGCGGUCUGCUGGACUGCAACUGACGUUGAGGCCCGAAAGCGUGGGGAGCAAACAGGAUUAGAUACCCGUGUA
rnacentral:rRNA from 1 species